rnacentral:lncRNA from 1 species
UCGUCUUUGUGAGCGCGAGAACGUGGUGCCCUGUCUUGGCAGCAGUGAGGGCUGGAAUUUGAAGGUGCUGAUUGAUCCUUCCACCCCAGCCCCUGUGAAUGCAUCCUGUGUGAGAUCCAGACACCUCCUCGUGCUGGAUUCAGGAUGGGGAGACAAAGCUGGAACAAAUGACAGCUGUGCUUGAGAAGGAGCAUGUAGACACCCCCUCACCCACCCCUCGGGAAUGAAGGUGUGGGAAUCUGUGGUUCCUGUGAACUCUGAGCAGAUAGAAUCACCUGGGAUAUGGUGGGAGCCCAUGGACUAGACCCUUCCAGAACCCAGCCAAGUUGGCUGACCGGCCUGGCCACCUCCACAAAUGCCACAUUCCCCUUUGUUUCUUCUGGGGUCACAUUCCUGGAAGCACUGAAUAUGUCAACCUGGCAUUUCAUAGUUCAGCCAUCCAAGCACAGAAAAGGGCAUGAUCCCAGGCUGAAAAGGUGUAUUUUAUAUUCACACACUUGACUUUCAAGGCCCCGAAUGAAUUUUGCUGAAAUAAAUAUUCACCUUUGGGUUUCAUCCAACUAUGAUAAGUUUUAGUCCC